rnacentral:rRNA from 1 species
GUUAUCGUUUAUUUGAUAGUACCUUACUACAUGGAUAACCGUGGUAAUUCUAGAGCUAAUACAUGCUAAAAAUCCCGACUUCGGAAGGGAUGUAUUUAUUAGAUUAAAAACCAAUGCCCUUCGGGGCUCUCUGGUGAUUCAUAAUAACUUCUCGAAUCGCACGGCCUUGCGCCGGCGAUGGUUCAUUCAAAUUUCUGCCCUAUCAACUUUCGACGGCUGGGUCUUGGCCAGCCGUGGUGACAACGGGUAACGGAGGGUUAGGGCUCGACCCCGGAGAAGGAGCCUGAGAAACGGCUACUACAUCCAAGGAAGGCAGCAGGCGCGCAAAUUACCCAAUCCCGACACGGGGAGGUAGUGACAAUAAAUACUGAUACAGGGCUCUUUCGGGUCUUGUAAUUGGAAUGAGUACAAUUUAAAUCCCUUAACGAGGAACAAUUGGAGGGCAAGUCUGGUGCCAGCAGCCGCGGUAAUUCCAGCUCCAAUAGCGUAUAUUAAAGUUGUUGAGGUUAAAAAGCUCGUAGUUGAACCUUGGGCCUAGCCGGCCGGUCCGCCUCACCGCGUGCACUGGCUCGGCUGGGUCUUUCCUUACUGGAGAACCGCAUGCCCUUCACUGGGUGUGCCGGGGAACCAGGACUUUUACUCUGAACAAAUUAGAUCGCUUAAAGAAGGCCUAUGCUCGAAUACAUUAGCAUGGAAUAAUAGAAUAGGACGUGUGGUUCUAUUUUGUUGGUUUCUAGGACCGCCGUAAUGAUUAAUAGGGACAGUCGGGGGCAUCAGUAUUCAAUUGUCAGAGGUGAAAUUCUUGGAUUUAUUGAAGACUAACUACUGCGAAAGCAUUUGCCAAGGAUGUUUUCAUUAAUCAGGAACGAAAGUUAGGGGAUCGAAGACGAUCAGAUACCGUCGUAGUCUUAACCAUAAACUAUGCCGAUUAGGGAUCGGCCG